rnacentral:lncRNA from 1 species
AUCACUCACUCUCCUUGUUGCUUCUCUUGAAUCUUUGUCGUGUGCCACUGCUGAGACACGAAGAGGAACUCCUUCACAAUGCCACCCUCACUGCUUCAACUGAGACUCCUUCAUAGCGGAGCUCUCUCACCACCUCUGUUUGUGCUUGUUUAGAGUCUUAUUUUUUCAUUUCUAUCUUCGUCCACAAUGGAGCGCACGUGUGAUGCCCCCUCACUAUGUGGCUUCAAGUGAUAUUUUUGCGCCUCAAUUGUGAUUUCACCCUUUAUUGUUAGGGAUUUUGAUUUCACAAUCACAAUCUCUUUAUCAGCGUGCCUCAUUUCCCUUUUGUUAGUGGUUUAUUCAUUCAUUGAGAGUAGCAUUAUGAAUCUUGACGUCU